CAAAUGAGUCCCGUACACUCUAAGGCAUCGCUGACUUUGGCACCUGUGAGUGUCGUGGACGCCGAAGAGCGACCACAGCAGACCGCUCCCUUACCAGCUCUCCAGACGACGUUAGACUUUGGAGGUGGUCCUGGCGUCAAAAUCGGCAUAAAGCAUUCCUGAAACAUCAGGUGCCGGACAUACACGGUAUUUGAGAACAGAGAAUGGACACCAAGAGAAUUGCAAUACAGUAAAUACAGCUGCUUUAUUAUGUUAUCUUAACCUCAUAACUAUUGUGAGCUUUAACAAUUCCCCCCCCCUUCUUCUCAUAACUACUGUGAGCUUUAACAAUUCCUCCUCCUCCUUCCUCUUCCUCUUCCCCCUCCUCCUCCUUCUUUUUCUUCUUCUUCUUCCUCCUCCUCCUCUUCCUCUUCCUCCUCCUCCUCCUCUUCUUCUUUGUCGUCUAUAAAGUUGCAGGACUAUGACCACCACAGGGGUGCCCAGGUGGGGACUAUGCUAAAGAGUUUUGUUUUAUUUGAAAAUUAUGGCCCCAAAUCCUCACAAUACUAUGAACACAGGGUUUCUGUGUCUGUUGGGGUGGGGUGUGGAUUGUUUUACGUGAUACAGCUAGUUAGGAGGAGCUUGAGAAUCAAACCCUGCAGUCUGGUCCCAGAGUUAGGAAAAGGCAGGGUGUGAUGAAACUAAGGGGUUAUGGGGCUGGCACCGUUGCGCUUGUUGGGUAGAAGCAGGAAGUACCCUUUGUGGGUUGUACAGUUUGGUGUUUCCUGUGGACGGUGGAAAACUAAAGUAAAGGACUAUGUGAUUAGGGCCCUAUGUUCCAGGAGAGAGAGAGAGAGAGAGAGAGAGAGAGAGAGAGAGAGAGAGAGAGAGAGAGAGAGAGAGAGAGAGCUUUCGUGCGUGUUUUAAUCAUUGUGUGUAUAGAUGGGGUGGGGUGGGGUUGUGCUUCCAAGACACGUAUGCGGUGAUCAGAGGAUAAUUUUGCAGUUUCUUUCUUUCCACCACAGGUUCUGCGGAUUGACUAUAAAUUGUCAGAUUUGCAUGACAAGAACCUUUACCCACAGAGCCAUUUUCCUGGCUCUCAAUGCUCUCAGUCUUCUGAGGAAAUCUGCUUAAGCUUGCUUUCUCUAGGGUAGUGACUAAAACAUCCUUUUGCUUAAGUGCCCAGCCCAGUUAUUACUUUGGUCACCUUAGGGUAAGACCUAAUUUCUGUUUACAAAGGACUCAGAAAGCCGAGUGGAGAACAAAGACGGGUGGCGAGAUGAUCAGUUAGGCGGCAAUUUCUGUUCUAAGAGGUAAAGUCACUGAGUGAAGAGGUUCAGAUUUCAGAAAUCCAUCCGAGGGACAUUUAGGCUUGGUGAUCAGGUGGAAUGUGGUAAGGUAGAUGCAGGAACUCUGGGAGUUCAGUCUAGGUUAGCUAAGAAGACCUCACACACAGGAAGAAGACAAGAUUGGUGUGAUGUGAGGGUUGAGUUCAUACUCCACACCUCAUCGGUGUUCCGUUUAACAUGGGGUGAUACUUCACACCGCAUCUGGACAGUAGACCACAAGAGAUUUCUGUUGCCUGAGUCUAUCUGGACCCAGUGUUUACAUUAGUAAUGAUAGUCUGCUUGUAUGAUGCACACAUUGAACUAAAUCUCUUUUUCACAUCCAGUCCAAACUAAGCCAGGCCUCCCAACCUGUUACCAUUGCUGUUUUAAGGAUACUUAUCUAUCACAUUUUGAUGUAUUCGGCUUUAUUGCUAUUUCUACUCGUUAGAAUGUCAGCCUCAUUACUAUGUAUCAUCGGUACCCAGAAACGUGUGCGGCCUAACAGUAGAGACUUAAAAAGGGGUGGGGAGCUGUUGGUUGUUGAGUGACUAUCAGUUUGUUACCCACAAGUAUGUCACACUUCCUGACAGAAUGCCUGUUCACUAAUGUUGAUUUCUGAGUGCCCUAGAUGAUACAAAUCUUUCUGAUUUUGAGCUCUCUCACUUAACAAGCACAGGUAGUACCUUCUUCGUGGGCCAGGUGCUGGAUUACAACACAGAAUAAACAUGGGUCCUACCCUCAUGGAGUUUAGUCUUCCAAAGAACAGGAAAUAACAAGGCAGUAAUAAUUUUGGGUAAGUAAGCACUUUUAAAAGUUCAAGGUUCCCAAAAGGCAUUUAGAAGGUGUGGAUAGAAGGGGAACUUGCUGGCCAUGGUUCUCAGGAAUACCCAAAUGAAAGUGUUAACAGCGAUGAGAAGGCACUUCGAGAGUAAAGUUGCCUCUUAUUUAUCUGGGCACAGUAGAUUUUAGCUAAACUACUCUGUGAAAGAGAAUAGGAAGUCAUUAUAUAUUUGACCUGAAAUGAUGGGGGAAAUCAGAUUACUUAAAAUUAUAAGCAUCCACUUUCAGUCUAAGAAAUUAAGUCUUGCUGAAGUCUAACAAUUCAUCUUCCUGCUCCUUUUGCAUUGAAGAACUAUUUAGCAUGUUUAACCUGACUGCCUUAGUUAUAUUGCUUGUAUAUCUUAAGUUUAAUUAGUGGAAUGUCCUUUUGCAUCAUCUUAGAGCAUACAGAAAGUUCACACCAAAUUCAUUAGAGUGAACUAAAACUAAUCUUAACUUUUUGAGACAAAACUUUCAUUGCAACCCAAGCUGGCCUGGAACUAUGUAGCAUAGGCUUAGCCUCAAAUUCACAACACACUUCCUGCUUCAGCCACCCAAGUGCUAGGACUGCAGGUGUCAGUCACAUGCCUAGCCAAAAACUAAUCUGUAAAUGCCCAUAAAUCUUAAGAUCCUCAACGUUUAUUUUAAAGGCCUUUGGUCAAAACAGACCAUUUUCAUAUUUUAACAAUUGAACAAUGUGCUAUGUUGCCAAUUUCUAAUUUGUGAACGGCAAACCACCAGGGCCCAUAAAAUUACUGGAAAAAUUUGGUCACUAAAGGGCAAAGUCUACACUUCCACUGUCUGCUAUUAGAGCCACUAACUCCAAGCAACACUGAACACUUACACUGUACGUAUAGAUGCACACUGGACUUCAAAGGUUUUCUAUUAAAAUAGGAAACAUGAAUCAUUUUUAUUUCGAUGACAUGGCAAUAAUAUUUAUAACAUUCUAAUUAAAUACACUGCUGAUAUUAAUUCUACUUGUUUGACUUGUUUGUGACACUGCAACAUUUUAAAAUAUGUACAUGGCUCAUCUAUGGGAGGACAUCACCAAACAGAGUACUUUAUAAGGUAUGUAAAUGUAAAUAUGCCAUUAUUUUAUUGAAACAAAUUUAUUUCUAAGUUUUUUAAAGAUUCUUUUUAUUUCAUACAUAUGUGUGUAUCCACAGCAUGCGUAUUCCUGAUGCCCAUAGAGCUCAGAAGAAGGCAUUCCUGGAACUAGAAUUACAGUGUAGGUACUAGGAGCCCAACAUUUAAUAAUGCUCUUCUCCAAGAGCAGCAGCAAGUGCUUUUUACCACUAAGCCAUCUCUCCAGUCCCUAUUUAUCAGUUUUGCUGAUCUAUGAUCUCUAAAGCAUUGGUGAGAAAACACCUUGGUAUGUAUGUGUAUGUAUGCAUAUAGACGUUACAGGUCAGCCUAUGUGUCAUUCCUCAGGAGGCAUCCAUCUUGGUUUUUUUGAGAGUCUUUGACCAAGUCCUGAAGCUCAGUGAUUAGGCUGGCCAAAGAGCCCCGAGGAUCCGCCUGUCUCUGCCUUUCCAGUACUGGGAUUAUACGCACAGGCCACCUCAUAAUCACAUGCACAGCUUCUUUUUUUUUUUUUUUUUCUUUUUCUUUUUUUCGGAGCUGGGGACCGAACCCAGGGCCUUGCGUUUGCUAGGCAAGCGCUCUACCACUGAGCUAAAUCCCCAACCCCCACAUGCACAGCUUCUUAGAUGAAUGCUAAGAAUCAAACUCAGGGUUCAUGAUUCUGUGUCAUGACUUAGCUUCUCAGCUCCCAUAAAGCAUUUUUGGAUGUUAAAAUAUACUUGGCCAGGUGUGGUGGUUCAUCCUUCCAAACACAAUUCUUGGACGAUUGAGGCAAGGGGACUGCUAUGAGUUUGAGGCCAGUCUGGCCUACACAAAGAUUCUGUCUUAAACAAACAAACAAAAAACCAACAAAACAAAACACUGUAAACCAUGCUAAAAAAGAUUCACAGUAGGCUAUGGAUUUACUAAUAAACUAUGUAUGAGUAGACAGCUAGGGAUCUAUAGAACACUUCAUGUUGGCUUUUAGAAAGAAGAUUCAUGGGGAAAUGGAGAGAUGGCUCAGCAAUUAAGAACACUUGCUGCGUUUCCAGAGGACCAGGUUUGAUUACCACGGCAGCUCACAACUAUAACUCCAGUCCCAGGGGAUCUGACGCAGUCUUAUGGUUUUCCCAGGUUUCACUCCCUAUACUUUAAAAAGCAGCAAUAUAAAGGAAUCUUUGCUGACCCACUAAAAAAGGGCUCUAAAGAUUAACAGACAAGUACACCGCAAAUGGUUUCUGCUAGCCUUUAUUUGUGAAAGUUUACACAAAAAUCUCCCAACAGGUGAGCCUAUAUAAACCCCACAUGCCUCUUCCCAUUAACAAACAGAAGAUGGCUCUGAUGGGGGUAGGGUGGGGGGUCAUGACAAUGGUACGGAACAAGGUUUAUUGAAACUGUCUUAUUCUCAAAUUAUUUUGAAUAUGCUGAAAAUGAAAGGAAGCAGGUAAUAACCUGUUUAUAAAGCUGAUGUGCAUUUGUGCAAGCCUACUGCCAAAGGCAAAUAAAUGCUCUUCAAGCACAAUGUCCAAGUUGGUUGUUUUUGGCAUGAAUUAAAACAAACGAAAGGACUUGAAAUAAUUUCAGUUCUACAAAGCUUAUGUUUACAGAUGUUCUUGUUUACAAGAGCUUGGAAACAAAACCAUGGGCAAAAUGGUCUAUUUUUCUCCUCUCUGAAACAUUGACAUUUUCCAGGACAGAAAACAGAAAAUUAGUAGAGUGGUUGUCAUUGCUCCUAAAAGAGGGGAAGGCACAAGUCAGAAAAUAGGAGUCUCGUGUUAGGCUAAUGGUACACACCAUGGUUUUGCAUUUAAAAGUCUACAAAUGGGUUUUGACCCAAAAUUUAUUUUCUUAUUGUUUAUUCUUUUCAUACUUAAAUUGUUCUUCUGUCACUUGAUGUAUGGAUGUUACAGAUUUCUGACCAUCUGCUGGUGCCAUGGUGAGGACUUGCAUGCUAAGAUCUUAGAAGUGAGACCUAUCAUUUUUCAACAGCAGAUGGCACUGUUGUACCAGAGAACACUUGAUGCCAUGCAGGCGUUUAUGGGAGUCCUAAGACAAAGGCUUUUGAGUGUAUAGUAACUGGAACCUUAACAGAACAGCCUGAUACUUAACCACAUAAAGCAUUCCUGUUCACCUUCGUACUUCAUCCAGGUCAUCUUAACAGUGUUCUCUGAUAACUUCAAUAUUUCACUUCUUUACUGUAAGCAACAUGGGUCUAAGUCCUGUAAUUCUCAGGACUGCAAUUAAGACAAUCCCUGUAACAACAGGUCAGCAGGGUUAAAAGAUCACCCACUUUCCCAGGAGAAGUAGGAAAGACCUUAAGUCAUAAAUGAGUAUUUCUCGUGUUUACAAGCAUUUGUACUUACUUUCCCCCCAGUGCAGGCAAUCAGGCACAGAGCCUUCCACGUGCUAGGUAGGCACUCUACCUACCUACCUGAGGGACACUCCCAGAACUACUUUGAGGUACCUAAAACUCCCACCAAGUGAACCUUGGCUUUGUUUUUACAACAAAUAUUUUCAAGUAUUUACUAUCUGUGACUUUCCCAGAUGUCCAAGUUAAACCCUUUAUGUCCACGUCUCUGAGACAACACUGAAGAACAGGAAUUAGAUCAGUGAUUGGCCCGUACAAGGGCUGGUAAAAUUUACUCAUUCUUCCUGGUAGAAGUUAUGUGAAAAGUUCAAGCAACUACCCAAAAGUCCAAGAGGACACACACAGAACUCAGCGGUGAAGUGAACAAAUGAUCAUGUAGAAAAUGGGCAAAAGCCACCAACAGACAUUUCACCGACAAGAACGUACAGAUGGCUAAUGACAAGCACAAGAAAGGAUGCUCAACACCAUCUGCCAUUUGGAGAAUGCAAAUUAAAACCAUGAUGAGACAUUACAGGCACCUAUUCAAGGGGCUAAGUUAAAAUAACAAUGAUAAAGAUGAAGGAGAAUGUGGACAUGGAGCAUGCUCUAGCCACUCUAGACAAGGGCAGGAGGCUUCAUUUAGAACUGUGUGCGCUUCCCACACACCAUAGCAAUUGCCCUCUUUAGCAUCUAUCCCAGAGUGAUGAAGACGUACAUUCACAUAAGAACUUUAGUGGUUAAGGGCCAAAUCACCAGACCCACCCAUAUGCCCUUUAAGCACAUUGCAGUACCAUCCAUAACCUGGAGGAAAAUCAGUGUGCAACACCUUUGAGGGGCACCUCCUGGGAAUUAUGCUGAGUGGAGAAAGUCAACCUCCAAAGGUUGCACUCUUGAUGACCCAUUUACAUAACAGAGUUACAAAGGUUCAGAACCAGUGAGCAGAUUAGGGAGCCAGAGCCUGGGGUGAAGAAGGGAGUGGCCAGCUACAACAGCCAUGUGAUGGAGCUACUCUACCUGAGAUGACCGACAGGACCUAUGAGUGAUAAUUGGACAGAACUAAACACACAUACACCAGGACUUCAAGCAGUUGAGCACAAACAUUUUAAUGGUCUAAAAUGAGAUUUUCUUUUAAGAGAUUAUCUACAGUUCAAAGCUCACUUUGUUUUGUGUCCCACCCAUGACCCUUUUAGAAGACAUAAAAUUAUGAAGGAUAUCACCAGAAGCUCUGUAAACAUUUCAUCUAAGGACCAAGAGAAGUUCAAGGUGUUUCACAAGGAAACCAAAGAGACAACUGAUAUGAAGGAGCUGACCGAGGUCAGAGAAAUCUUGGAGGAGAACUAGAGUGGAGGACCAAGGCGGUGAGCAAGUGGGAGAGAAAAAGCAAACAGCUCAAACCGAUCCUGUGAGGCGACCCAGGACGAAUGCUGGCUUUGGCGUUAUCUAGGUAACCCCUGUUUGUUGUUUUGUUUUGUUUUGUUUUUCCAUAGGCGACUUUAAUAAUCUUGUUGCAAACCAGUCCAAAUCCUACUGCAUUAAAAAGUCCUCUCUGACUUGCUGGGUGUGGGUGGUGCCCAUGCUCU